rnacentral:lncRNA from 1 species
AGCCUUGCUUUCCGAGGGCGGCGUGCAGCCACAGUGCCCGCUGCGGGUGCUGGGGAAUGGCGCCUUACAGGCUGCCCACCUGCCUCCUCAGGGUGGAAGGCGGGGCUUGGGUGUGAGCGUGCUGAAUCAGAACUUUCCUGGAAAGUCGCCACUUGGUGUGGUCAGAGGAUCACUGAAGUAACAACUGCACAGAGCCUGUGCUUAAGAUGGCAGGAUCGCAAGACAGAGCAACUGGAGCAAGUCCUCAUUAAGAAGAGCCGCCCGAUGCAUUUGGACUGCGAUGUGUUACGCCCAUGAGAUUUCAGGGUUAAUUUGUUACCUGGCCGUGGCCUAUCCUCUUCCAGCAGAUACAGAGGCUACUGCAGUUUGCAACUUUGCAGAUACCAGCAGAGGAAGAAAAACCUGGGAGACUGCUGCUAACCUAAUGUGGAGACUUGACUUAAACUUCAGCCAGACAAAGGCGGAAUCUUAAUAUGGAGGGGCCUGGCUCUGCAGGGAGGUCACCUGGGCUGGCUGGAUUUCAAUCCAGUUACACAGCAAAAAAGUUACAACCCAAGCUUUGGCGAUGCUGAGCCUUCUACUCUCAGGGAUUCCAAAGCAUUUGAUAAACUCUUUCUUUGUUCCAUUGUUUACUGACUUCCUAGUGCUUGUCUUGUUCUGCAGUUAUUUAUUUAUUUUUAUUUAUUAGUUUUUACUUAUGAUCUACCCCUCUCUCCCAUCUCCCCGCAACCUGAAGGUUUCCAUGGUACUUUGCAGCCAUUAGUCGAAGGCUGCCUUCAAUUAGCACACAUACAUACCAUGUGAAGGUAAGUAGCAGAGAUACUACUGAUCCACGUAAAGAAAAACAUAAUAUGUGGCACUCCAGAAAUAAUUAUGCCGUGAUGUUUCUUUUACUCACUGAAGACUAUUAAUAGCACGUUUAAACAUUUAAAGAUGUCUAUUGCCUACACAAUUUGUGUCAAUCAAAUUCCCGAAGCUUAACAUAUAUAUUUUAGCUUAUACCAGGAAAAAAAAAAAAAAAAAGAAAGGCAAAUGACUUCAGUUUUCCUCCUUUUGCCUGCCGUCUAACCCAAGGUUGCUGGUCUAGCCACAGGCCAGAUCCACUACAAAUCAAAGCCCAGGAUUCUUUCUUUGAGAAAAUGGAGAGAAGAAGUCAACCUUCCCCAUCCUCAUGCUUUUACUGCCGACUGCACCUGAUACCACCCCCACUCAAGAGAACUCUGAAGAGACUCAAAUACAUCAGGGAGCUGGAGUCAGUGGGUGGGUGCUGAUAAUGUGUUUAUCUUCCCCAGUGGAAACUACACGAGUCAAUCAGACGUCUGACCUUUUCCUUUACCGAAAAGUUACGGGAAGGAAAUGUGAGUCAGAGACUCCUUUUACAGAUACACUGCUUCCUGACUGUCUGGGCAAAGGAGCUGGCCUGGGCUGGCCUCUGAGAUGUCAGCUUUUGGGGCAGUGAGCAAGUGUGUACCUGUCGCUCCUGUGACUCCAGCCGUCACACGCAGAAGGACAGAAUCUACAUCAUUAAUCAUUUGGCAGAGCAGAAAUAGAGUCAUUGAAACAGGCUCCGCUGUGGGAUAAUAGUCCAGAAAUGUCACCAUUUAUCUACUGAGAGGACACUUUUAUCCUCUGACAACGGGCUAGCCCACCGACAUUAUAUCUUAAUUAAAAGAAAAAUUAAUCGGCACAAUUCAUUUUCUUGCCAGCCCCAGUGCUUGCCCUGGACUGCAAAACAUGUCUAGUAGCAACAAUAACCACAGGGUGGGCAGAGACCUUUGAGAUCCCAGUCUUGGAGAGAGAAUGUUAAAGAGCUCCAGUCCCAGGGCAACCAACUCAUCAAACAAAUGCUUAAAAGAGAGAAUCAGGAUGGAACAAGAAAAUAUGAAGUCUAGUGGUGAGCCAGGAGAAUAAAUGGCCUUUGAGAAGAUAACUAUGUGUUUUGGGUUGGUGGGGAGAGGUGGUGAUGGAAGGGUAAGAGGUAGGGAGAGAGUAUGUGGGGGGCGGGUGGAAAUGGACAUUUUCAGAUAACUAUGUAGACAGUUCAAAUAUCUAGACAUUUGGCUGGGUGUAGAUGACAUUCUGUUCUAUCUGAUUAAGUCAUUUUCUACAAGAUUGACCUCUUAUAGUUUGCUGUGGACACUUGAAUAAAAUAGAA